GAUGAAGAACGCAGCGAAAUGCGAUAAGUAAUGUGAAUUGCAGAAUUCAGUGAAUCAUCGAAUCUUUGAACGCACAUUGCGCCCAUUAGUAUUCUAGUGGGCAUGCCUGUUCGAGCGUCAUUUCAACCCUUAAGCUUAGCUUAGUGUUGGGAGACUGCCUAACCGCAGCUCCUCAAAUACAGUUGGCAGAGUGUAUGUGUGCUCUGAGCGUAGUAAUUUAUUCUCGCUUCUGAAAACUAUAUACUGUAGCCACAAACCUAUUAUUUUUUAAUGGUUGACCUCGGAUCAGGUAGGAAUACCCGCUGAACUUAAGCAUAUCAAUAAGCGGAGGA
rnacentral:misc_RNA from 1 species